rnacentral:misc_RNA from 1 species
GAUGAAGAACGCAGCAAAAUGCGAUAAGUAAUGUGAAUUGCAGAAUUCAGUGAAUCAUCGAAUCUUUGAACGCACAUUGCGCCCGCUGGAACUCCGGCGGGCACGCCUGUCCGAGCGUCAUUUCAACCCUCAGGCCCCCCUUCGCGGGCGGGCCUGGUGUUGGGGCCCGGCCGCUACCCUGCGGCCGUCCCCUAAAUUCAGUGGCGGCCUCGCCGUGAUCCCUUGCGUAGUAAUGCACCUCGCACCGGAGAGCGCCGUGGCCACGCCGUAAAACCCCCAAUUUUCAAUGGUUGACCUCGGAUCAGGUGGGAAUACCCGCUGAACUUAAGCAUAUCAAUAAGCGGAGGA